CCCUUAGAUGUUCUGGGCCGCACGCGUGCUACACUGAGUGGAUCAGCGGGUCAGGUUGCGCGAAAGCGUUUCCUAAUCUUUAAAUCCGCUCGUGAUGGGGAUUGACGGUUGCAAUUUUCUGUCAUGAACGAGGAAUACCUUGUAAGCGCGGGUCAUCAUCCCGCGCUGAAUACGUCCCUGCCCUUUGUACACACCGCCCGUCGCUCCUACCGAUUGAGUGGUCCGGUGAGGCUCUGGGACCUGGACGGAAAGAGCGUUUCGCUUGUUCUGUUUGGGAAACUUGGUCGAACCUUAUCAUUUAGAGGAAGGAGAAGUCGUAACA
rnacentral:rRNA from 1 species